rnacentral:rRNA from 1 species
UAGGGAAUCUUCCGCAAUGGACGCAAGUCUGACGGAGCAACGCCGCGUGAGUGAAGAAGGAUUUCGGUUCGUAAAACUCUGUUGUUAGAGAAGAACAGCGCAUAGAGUAACUGUUAUGCGUGUGACGGUAUCUAACCAGAAAGCCACGGCUAACUACGUGCCAGCAGCCGCGGUAAUACGUAGGUCCCGAGCGUUGUCCGGAUUUAUUGGGCGUAAAGCGAGCGCAGGCGGUUAGAUAAGUCUGAUGUGAAAGCCCCCGGCUCAACCGGGGAGGGUCAUUGGAAACUGGUUGACUUGAGUGCAGAAGAGGAGAGUGGAAUUCCAUGUGUAGCGGUGAAUUGCGUAGAUAUAUGGGGGAACACCAGUGGCGAAGGCGACUAUCUGGUCUGUAACUGACGCUGAGGCUCGAAAGCGUGGGUAGCAAACAGG